CGGCCAAGCUGUGCAGCUCCAGUCUUUGCGGCGAUGAGUCCGUUGAUGGCCCCGUCGGACACUCGCUGCUGUCAUCCCACCAGCGCAGACGACUCUUCUCGAUCUCACCCUCCUCACGGAGCUAAAAUAAAGGGCUUACGCAUGUUGUAGUAAUCGAGUGAGGGUUGGUCUGUCAAGUAAGCAAACGGUUGCGUACGAGCCUUAAGGACGCCGUACUGUGUGCCAUUUACAAAUGUCUCCUGGGAUUUCAUCUGCUGGAACAUUGUGGCGUAUAUGUCGACCUUGAGACAAGCAGAUGUUAACGGAAAUCCAAGCGUGUUGAGCUUACCUUGGACUCGCUAAAGAAUGUGAAGAGUGACCCCCCUUCCUGGACGCCGUACUUUACUGUGUUUUGACUGACAAGAUCCUCCAGAGAGUUGAUCUUUGAUCGAAUGCUCUUGGCUAAAAACAGUAAACGUUGGCUCAGUUACAGUUAAUAUAAUAUGUGAGGUAACAUUUUAUAAUGCUGUCGGGUGAGU